rnacentral:rRNA from 1 species
UACGUAGGUGGCAAGCGUUGUCCGGAAUUAUUGGGCGUAAAGCGCGCGCAGGCGGUUUUUAAAGUCUGAUGUGAAAUCCCCCGGCUCAACCGGGGAGGGUCAUUGGAAACUGGGGAACUUGAGUGCAGAAGAGAAGAGUGGAAUUCCACGUGUAGCGGUGAAAUGCGUAGAGAUGUGGAGGAACACCAGUGGCGAAGGCGACUCUUUGGUCUGUAACUGACGCUGAGGCGCGAAAGCGUGAGGAGCAAACAGG